CCUGGUCAAUCAUACUUCGAAGAAUGCGUCAUGUUUUUUUUUUUUUUUUGCAGUCAACGUGCCUCGAAGCGAGUCGCUGAACUGACUCCAAUGGACCAUUUCGGAAAUCGCAGCGCCGCGAGAAAACCUAGCAGGCGCGCGACGCAUUAUGGGAAAAGUGAGUGAGCGCCGACCAACCGCCCGUCUUGGCUGCCUCCUGCGUUCGCAUAGCUGCGGUGUGUGAGUGUGCGCGUGCUUUGUUUGGUUAGAGAUUGCGUGUACUUUUGGUGGUGGGUGGUUGCAGGUGCGUUAUAUUAACUCUUACGUGCCUGUGGGUUACUUAGUGACCUCAGCCACUACUGCGCGUGAUGUCUUCGAAGUGCCGAGGCGGCGGUCAGACUUGUUGUGUGCCUGGUUGCGACAACAACACGCUGAAAGACAAGAACAUUUCAUUUCACGCAUUCGCUGCAAAUGAAAAAGAAAAAAGGAGUGGGUGAGAAGAAUCAACCGCCAAGGAAGUGCUGGGCGCUUCUCUUUGUGGCAACCUUCUAAGCACCACCGGAUAUGCGGAGCUCACUUCAACGCAAGUGGACGCCGUGGUUAUCUGGAUCGGCUGCCAAAAAUUUUCCCCCAUAAGGUCAUCAAUCAACUAUCUCCUUCCUUUAAUACCAUCGCGAAACGCAAGAAGACAAGCUCCCAAACUGCCUCUGCCAGCCCGGUGUUCCUUCUGAACGAGUUGGAUAUCGGCUGCGUAGUUGACGUGCCCCAAUGCGAUCAACAAAGCGACGUUGUUUCCCAGGAGCCCACCCAGCUUCGUUUCGCACGGAAACGGAAGG